UACCUCAAAAUUCCGCAACAGUCUGUUUCAUCAGUAAAUGUUUCAUCACCGCCUGAUGAUUCUUUACUGAUGAAACAGACUGUUGCGGAAUUU